rnacentral:rRNA from 1 species
UACGGGGGGGAGCAAGCGUUGUUCGGAUUUACUGGGCGUAAAGGGCGCGUAGGCGGUCAGCACAAGUCAGUUGUGAAAUCUCCGGGCUUAACUCGGAAAGGUCAACUGAUACUGUGCGACUAGAGUGCAGAAGGGGCAACUGGAAUUCUCGGUGUAGCGGUGAAAUGCGUAGAUAUCGAGAGGAACACCGGUGGCGAAGGCGGGUCUCUGGGCCGAUACUGACGCUGAGUUGCGAAAGUGUGGGGAGCAAACGGGG